GUGCCAGCCGCCGCGGUAAUACGUAGGGUGCGAGCGUUGUCCGGAAUUACUGGGCGUAAAGAGCUCGUAGGUGGUUUGUCGCGUUGUUCGUGAAAACUCACAGCUUAACUGUGGGCGUGCGGGCGAUACGGGCAGACUAGAGUACUGCAGGGGAGACUGGAAUUCCUGGUGUAGCGGUGGAAUGCGCAGAUAUCAGGAGGAACACCGGUGGCGAAGGCGGGUCUCUGGGCAGUAACUGACGCUGAGGAGCGAAAGCGUGGGGAGCGAACAGGAUUAGAUACCCUGGUAGUCCACGCCGUAAACGAUGGGUACUAGGUGUGGGUUCCUUCCUUGGGAUCCGUGCCGUAGCUAACGCAUUAAGUACCCCGCCUGGGGAGUACGGCCGCAAGGCUAAAACUCAAAGGAAUUGACGGGGGCCCGCACAAGCGGCGGAGCAUGUGGAUUAAUUCGAUGCAACGCGAAGACCUUACCUGGGUUUGACAUGCACAGGACGCCGGCAGAGAUGUCGGUUCCCUUGUGGCCUGU
rnacentral:rRNA from 1 species